CGACUCUCGGCAACGGAUAUCUCGGCUCUCGCAUCGAUGAAGAACGCAGCAAAAUGCGAUACUUGGUGUGAAUUGCAGAAUCCCGUGAACCAUCGAGUUUUUGAACGCAAGUUGCGCCCGAAGCCAUUAUGCUGAGGGCACGUCUGCCUGGGCGUCACG
rnacentral:rRNA from 26 species